CAAUUUUUCACUUAAUCGUACUUCCCUUUCCCCAAUUGCCCCCGCAAUUUCAAUUCUCACCCCCCUCUGAACAAUAAUUAUGAGUUUGCCCCUAUGCACCUCAAAUAACAAAGUAAAAUACAAAAGACACAAAUCACGGCAAUAGAAUCCACACACCAUUUCCAAUCUAAGAUUGGUUGUAAAGAUUUAAUAGUAGUCCAGAACAAAGUGUGAGUCAUCUAGUGGAAACACGAGACCUUUCUUGAUGAGCAGCUAUUAUGAUAAGAUUGUCUGAAAGUUACGCACCAUUGGAAAAAUAGUAUGCUAAUGCCAAGAUAAGUUUGUAGAAAUAAAAGUAAAUAUACGCCUCACAUAAACUUGACAAGAAUCGUUCAAUUAUUUCUAGACACUAAUUUAUAGUUCAUUUUCACAUUAUUGGAAUCUUUAUAGGAGGGCAUUCUAAUUUUUCUGUCUGUAUAGUGUCUCCUCCUGAAACUGAAAGGCUUAAAUAGUGAUCGCUGAAGUGUAGGGAUGAUGAAAAUCUUUAAGUUUUCCAUUGAAAACUGCACAAGGAGAAAGAUGGAAUAUGACCAGUAAAAGGUAUUAUUCGGCUCCAUGCAUUACUUUUUUAUUACAUAUAAGUCAAAUGUGGUAAUAAAACAGUAAAAAAAAAACUAUCUUCUCUCCUCUUCUAUCUCAACUGGGAGUUCUGUUUGUUUCACCUAUUUUUUGUUUUUUUCUGUUUCCUCUCUCUUUACUGCUACGACUACUCAUCAACAAUACCACUCUACGUUCAUCAAUUCAAGGUGGAAACUUUCAAGUCUCCCCCCUCUUCUUACUUGUUUCUCUGUCUUUAGGGAUAUUUCAACANUCCAUUGAAAACUGCACAAGGAGAAAGAUGGAAUAUGACCAGUAAAAGGUAUUAUUCGGCUCCAUGCAUUACUUUUUUAUUACAUAUAAGUCAAAUGUGGUAAUAAAACAGUAAAAAAAACUAUCUUCUUUCCUCUUCUAUCUCAACUGGGAGUUCUGUUUGUUUCACCUAUUUUUGUUUUUUUCUGUUUCCUCUCUUUACUGCUACGACUACUCAUCAACAAUACCACUCUACGUUCAUCAAUUCAAGGUGGAAACUUUCAAGUCACCCCUCUCUUCUUACUUGUUUCUCUGUCUUUAGGGAUAUUUCAAUAAGAUUUGGAAUUCAGUUGAAUUUGAGUGAGAAUCGAUUCGAUUUUGCUGAUUGUCUGACCACUUCUUUAUCAAAUCCAGAAUAUAGUCAAUUCCAAACGAAGAAAGGCCCAUCAUCCCUUUCUUUCUUUUUCUGUUAUAUUUUUAGUUAUUUCUUGAUGGAAUUUUCUGGGUCCUCUAUAUAUACCAGGUACUGUAAUUUUGACUCUGUUUAUUUCUUUAGCUUAAAUUCGACAAGAUUGAUGGGUUAUUAGGGUUUCAGCUAGCAAAAAUUCAAGGGAUGUCAUUCUUUUUCCUUUUUCCUUUUUGAUAUUAAGUUUGGUUAAUUAGCUGAUGCAGAAGUUCUACACUUGAACAACUUUAAGCAAAAUUUGGUUUUCUCCAGCUUUCGCAAUGAAAGUGAAUUGCUUUGCUUUAAUUUAUUUAUUUUAACUAGCCCUUGAUUUUCUGUUUGGUAUUAUUAUCGCUAAUUGGGAAUGGAAGACGUACAAUUUUCAUAUAGAAGCAAGCAUGGGAGUGCGCAGUUUCACGUCUGUCUUGUGAUAUUGAUGUCACCUUUCCUUUUUUGUUCAGUCACUUAAUGUUCUUACCUUGACUGCAUUUGUAUCUAACUUUUGAAUUUUAUUUAUUUUUUUCCAUGCAGAAAGUACUUGAGAAUUUGACCAGCUAUAUAUCUUCUGAUUAUUAAAGGCACAGGUAAACAUAUUUAUCUCUAUUCAACAUUUUACACUCUGACCUCGUGAGUUGCCAACUGUUUUGUUGGUUGUCUUCAUUUAAUGAGUUUGGACUUUAUCACUUGGCUUGUGCUUGUUUUUCAAAUUUCCUUGUGAUGUUUGCCUUGUUCGUGUAUGCUUCCUUAAUGUUACUGUACAAGAUAUCGUAUCUGAAAGAGUAUUUGUGUAUAUGUGUACAUUGAGAGUACCCUUGCCCUUCUAUUUUCUUUAUUCUGGGUUUCUAUUUCGCAUGUCCAAUUUUUGAUUGUUUACUGAUUGGGCUUGCAAAUAAAGGAAAUUCAAGGAUAUGGGAUGCUUUGUAUCAACGCCGAAGGACACAGGUGGAAACAGAAAGAGACCAUCAAACAUUGGUGAGGUCUCUGUAUUUGUGCCAGGUUUAAGGAUUCCUAAGACCGUGGAUUUCUCCCAGGCAUUAGGCGAUCAUUUGUCUAAAAGUUUAGUGGAACGUCUUUCUGCACUUAGAACCAGAAUUGUAGUUAUGGCUGCACAAGAAGCUCCGACUAUUACAAGAACAAGACGGAGAACGGCUACUCAACAUGGUUAU
rnacentral:lncRNA from 1 species